rnacentral:rRNA from 1 species
AUGGCAACCUAUGAGCCCAAGAACAUCCUCAUAACCGGUGCCGCAGGUUUCAUCGCGUCCCACGUGGCAAACCGUCUGGUCAGGAAUUACCCGCGCUACAACAUCGUCAUUCUCGACAGGGUCGACUAUUGCUCCAGCCUUAGAAACCUCGACCCUUCUCGUGGAUCCCCGAAUUUCAAGUUUGUCAGGGGCGACAUCGCCAGUGCCGACUUGGUGAACCACCUCCUGGUCACCGAGUCGAUCGAUACCGUCAUGCACUUUGCUGCCCAGACUCACGUCGACAACUCCUUCAGCUGUUCCUUUGAGUUCACCAAAAACAAUGUGUACGGUACCCACAUCCUCCUCGAGGCAUGCAAGCAGGUUAAGAUCAGAAGGUUCAUUCAUGUCAGCACCGAUGAAGUCUACGGAGAAACUGAUGUCAAUGCUGUUGUUGGUAACCAUGAGGAAUCUCGGCUGCUUCCGACGAACCCGUAUUCGGCUACGAAAGCCGGGGCAGAGAUGCUGGUGAUGGCCUACGCAAGGUCCUAUAAUCUUCCGGUGAUCACCACACGAGGUAACAAUGUGUAUGGGCCAAACCAGUUCCCCGAGAAGCUCAUCCCCAAAUUUGCUCUCCUGGCAAUGAGAGGCCUGCCACUCCCGGUUUAUGGGAAUGGCUCGAAUGCCAGGAGCUACUUGUACUGUGAGGAUGUCGCAGAAGCCUUUGAUGUUGUUCUUCACAGAGGAGAGGUUGGGCAUGUGUAUAACAUCGCCGCGGCUAAGGAGAGGGGAGUGGUGGAUGUGGCCAGGGACAUAUGUGAGAUUCUUGGGGUGGACCCUGAGAAGGCCAUCAAGUUCGUGGAGGACAGGCCGUUCAAUGACCAAAGGUACUUUGUGGACGGUGAGAAGAUGAGGAGGCUGGGGUGGUUGGAGCGCACAACGUGGGAGGAGGGACUGAGGAAGACGGUGGAGUGGUACGCCAGCAAUGCUGAUUACUGGGGAGAUGUUGGCGUUGUCUUGCGAGGGCAGCAUCGUAACUGGACAUAUGCUGCCUCAUCACCGCAAGCUGAUGAAGCAGUUGAGGAUCCUAAGUUGAAAAGCGCAAGAUCGAAGUGCAGGGCAAUGUUAUAA